CCCUUAGAUGUCCUGGGCCGCACGCGCGUUACGCUGAUGCAUUCAACGAGCCUAUAACCUUGGCCGAGAGGCCUGGGCAAUCUUGUUAACGUGCAUCGUGAUAGGGAUAGAUUAUUGAAAUUAUUAAUCUUGAACGAGGAAUUCCUAGUAAACGCAGAUCAUCAAUCUGCAUUGAUUACGUCCCUGCCCUUUGUACACACCGCCCGUCGCACCUACCGAUUGGAUGGUCCGGUGAAGCCUCGGGAUUGUGGUUCUUGCCGCUUUAUUGUGGCGUGACCGCGAGAACUUGUCUAAACCUUAUCAUCUAGAGGAAGGUGAAGUCGUAACA
rnacentral:rRNA from 1 species